GACGAACGCUGGCGACGUGCUUAACACAUGCAAGUCGAACGGAAAGGCCCGGCUUUGGUGGGGUGCUCGAGUGGCGAACGGGUGAGUAACACGUGAGUAACCUGCCCUUGACUGGGGGAUAACUUCAGGAAACUGGGGCUAAUACCGGAUAGGAGCUCCUGCUGCAUGGUGGGGGUUGGAAAGUUUCGGCGGUUGGGGAUGGACUCGCGGCUUAUCAGCUUGUUGGUGGGGUAGGGGCUUACCAAGGCUUUGACGGGUAGCCGGCCUGAGAGGGUGACCGGCCACAUUGGGACUGAGAUACGGCCCAGACUCCUACGGGAGGCAGCAGUGGGGAAUAUUGCCCAAUGGGCGGACGCCUGAUGCAGCAACGCUGCGUGCGGGAUGACGGCCUUCGGGUUGUAAACCGCUUUCGCCUGUGACGAAGCGUGAGUGACGGUAAUGGGUAAAGAAGCACCGGCUAACUACGUG
rnacentral:rRNA from 1 species